rnacentral:rRNA from 1 species
AGAGUUUGAUCAUGGCUCAGGAUGAACGCUGGCGGCGUGCCUAACACAUGCAAGUCGAGCGAUUCUCUUCGGAGAAGAGCGGCGGACGGGUGAGUAACGCGUGGGUAACCUGCCCUGUACACACGGAUAACAUACCGAAAGGUAUGCUAAUACGAGAUAAUAUACUUUUAUCGCAUGGUAGAAGUAUCAAAGCUCCGGCGGUACAGGAUGGACCCGCGUCUGAUUAGCUAGUUGGUAAGGUAACGGCUUACCAAGGCGACGAUCAGUAGCCGACCUGAGAGGGUGAUCGGCCACAUUGGAACUGAGACACGGUCCAAACUCCUACGGGAGGCAGCAGUGGGGAAUAUUGCACAAUGGGCGAAAGCCUGAUGCAGCAACGCCGCGUGAGCGAUGAAGGCCUUCGGGUCGUAAAGCUCUGUCCUCAAGGAAGAUAAUGACGGUACUUGAGGAGGAAGCCCCGGCUAACUACGUGCCAGCAGCCGCGGUAAUACGUAGGGGGCUAGCGUUAUCCGGAAUUACUGGGCGUAAAGGGUGCGUAGGUGGUUUCUUAAGUCAGAGGUGAAAGGCUACGGCUCAACCGUAGUAAGCCUUUGAAACUGGGAAACUUGAGUGCAGGAGAGGAGAGUGGAAUUCCUAGUGUAGCGGUGAAAUGCGUAGAUAUUAGGAGGAACACCAGUUGCGAAGGCGGCUCUCUGGACUGUAACUGACACUGAGGCACGAAAGCGUGGGGAGCAAACAGGAUUAGAUACCCUGGUAGUCCACGCCGUAAACGAUGAGUACUAGCUGUCGGAGGUUACCCCCUUCGGUGGCGCAGCUAACGCAUUAAGUACUCCGCCUGGGAAGUACGCUCGCAAGAGUGAAACUCAAAGGAAUUGACGG